rnacentral:tRNA from 1 species
GCGAAUGUAGCACAAUGGUUAGUGCAUUAGACUUCCAAUCUAAGGAUGACGGUUCGAUUCCGUUCAUUCGCUCA